AGAGUUUGAUCAUGGCUCAGGAUGAACGCUAGCUACAGGCUUAACACAUGCAAGUCGAGGGGAAACGAUAUUGGAAGCUUGCUUCCGAUAGGCGUCGACCGGCGCACGGGUGAGUAACGCGUAUCCAACCUGCCCACCACUUGGGGAUAACCUUGCGAAAGUAAGACUAAUACCCAAUGAUAUCUCUAGAAGACAUCUGAAAGAGAUUAAAGAUUUAUCGGUGAUGGAUGGGGAUGCGUCUGAUUAGCUUGUUGGCGGGGUAACGGCCACCAAGGCGACGAUCAGUAGGGGUUCUGAGAGGAACGGUCCCCCACAUUGGAACUGAGACACGGUCCAAACUCCGUACGGAGGCA
rnacentral:rRNA from 1 species